UUUAAUUGAAGAGUUUGAUCAUGGCUCAGAUUGAACGCUGGCGGCAGGCCUAACACAUGCAAGUCGAGCGGCAGCACAGAGGAACUUGUUCCUUGGGUGGCGAGCGGCGGACGGGUGAGUAAUGCCUGGGAAAUUGCCCGGUAGAGGGGGAUAACCAUUGGAAACGAUGGCUAAUACCGCAUAACCUCGUAAGAGCAAAGCAGGGGACCUUCGGGCCUUGCGCUACCGGAUAUGCCCAGGUGGGAUUAGCUAGUUGG
rnacentral:rRNA from 1 species